AUAGUCGGAUUCACAUCAAUCCACAUGUGUUGAGGUGGAUUGAAGUGGAAUUUAAACUAAAUUCCAUCCCAAUCCACACCAACACACAUGGAUUGAAGUGAAUCCGACA
rnacentral:pre_miRNA from 1 species